UGAUCAAGUUGGAGGAUUCAGCGGCUGGAAUCGACAGUCAAAGUUGAGAAGGCAAAUUAUUUCCAAAAAAGAAAUACCAACAACAACAACAUCUGAACUUUCUUCUAACAAAGAAAUUAAAGCUGAAUCUUUAAAUACGCCUCCGCAAAUUAUCAUAAUUUCCCCUGAAAACACACCGGAUAAGUUACCAGCUGCUCCCGGGCCAGAAAAUUUGACAGAGAACGCUCUGGAAGACACAGCAGCACCAGCUGAUUUGAUCAAUCAAACUAAAGCCGAACUUGGAAUACAGCCAUCAGCGGUGGAGCAGCAAGAUGCAUCCAAAGAUGCGACACUGAAGCCCCCUACCAGAAGGUCAGUUUUCAAAGAUCAAGACAGCGUUCAACAGAAACGCAUCAGUCCAGUACAACAAGAAGUGAAAUCUGGAGGUUUUAUCGCACAGACCCGUCCCCGGAAAUAUUUAACCCCAGCCAAAAGACAGUGACUCUCUGGUCUGCAUACCAGGGCGACCCUCGUGAGAGAUUUAAUGAGCGAGGUAACGUUAAUGGUUGGACAGAUUGGUUCCAGACCCGGACAGCAACGUCGCAGAAAGAAGGCCUCGCAAGCAGCACGGAACCGUCAAAAUAAAGCCUCAUCCUUAACGCGUCUGGCAGCAUGUCAGAUUCUGUU